rnacentral:rRNA from 1 species
UGGGGAAUUUUGGACAAUGGGCGAAAGCCUGAUCCAGCAAUGCCGCGUGUGUGAAGAAGGCCUUCGGGUUGUAAAGCACUUUUGUCCGGAAAGAAAUCCUUGGCUCUAAUACAGUCGGGGGAUGACGGUACCGGAAGAAUAAGCACCGGCUAACUACGUGCCAGCAGCCGCGGUAAUACGUAGGGUGCAAGCGUUAAUCGGAAUUACUGGGCGUAAAGCGUGCGCAGGCGGUUUGCUAAGACCGAUGUGAAAUCCCCGGGCUCAACCUGGGAACUGCAUUGGUGACUGGCAGGCUAGAGUAUGGCAGAGGGGGGUAGAAUUCCACGUGUAGCAGUGAAAUGCGUAGAGAUGUGGAGGAAUACCGAUGGCGAAGGCAGCCCCCCUGGGCCAAUACUGACGCUCAUGCACGAAAGCGUGGGGAGCAAACAGGAUUAGAUACCCUGGUAGUCCACGCCCUAAACGAUGUCAACUAGUUGUUGGGGAUUCAUUUCCUUAGUAACGUAGCUAACGCGUGAAGUUGACCGCCUGGGGAGUACGGUCGCAAGAUUAAACUUAAAUGAAUUGACGGGGUCAUAGCUGUUUCCU